AAGUAAUGAGUUGCUCGUUAGUAGCAAUAAUAUGCCCUCAGCCCCCAUCCCUUCACUUUCUCAAAAGAAAACAAGUACUCAGCAAAUGGACAUAAUACAACAAGACAACAUUUGGCAUAUUCAAGAGAAGCAAAACUGAGUCAUUGAAGACCUAUACAGCAGUCACAUGAAGCUGCCAUGUAGCUCACCAAUUUUAUACAUGUUCCAGUUAAGAAGGAUAAAAUAAAAAUUGAACACAAAGUCCAUUAAUUACAACAAGAGAAUCAUAAGUUUUGUUUUGGAGGGAAGAGAGGUGUGAGUGUUG
rnacentral:misc_RNA from 1 species